CGAAGGGGGCUAGCGUUGUUCGGAAUUACUGGGCGUAAAGCGAGUGUAGGCGGUUGUCAUAGUCAGGUGUGAAAGCCUUGAGCUCAACUCAAGAAAUGCACUUGAUACUGGAUGACUAGAGGACCGGAGAGGAUAGUGGAAUUCCCAGUGUAGUGGUGAAAUACGUAGAGAUUGGGAAGAACACCAGUGGCGAAGGCGGCUAUCUGGACGGUUACUGACGCUAAGACUCGAAAGCGUGGGGAGCAAACAGGAUUAGAUACCCUGGUAGUCCACGCCCUAAACGAUGUCAACUAGUUGUCGGGUCUUAAUUGACUUGGUAACGCAGCUAACGCGUGAAGUUGACCGCCUGGGGAGUACGGUCGCAAGAUUA
rnacentral:rRNA from 1 species